GCGGACGUGGCGAAACUGGUAGACGCAAGGGACUUAAAAUCCCUCGGCCAUAGGUCAUGCGGGUUCGAUCCCCGCCGUCCGCACCA
rnacentral:tRNA from 2 species